rnacentral:rRNA from 1 species
CAGCAUGCCCCGAAUUAUCCGGGCUACACGCGGGCUACAAUGGUCAGGACAAUGGGGUAUCGACACCGAGAGGUGGAGGCAAUCUCCUAAACCUGUCCUUAGUUCGGAUUGUGGGCUACAACUCGCCCACAUGAAGCUGGAAUCCGUAGUAAUCGCGUUUCAAAAAUAGCGCGGUGAAUAUGUCCCUGCUCCUU